AAUGCUGGAUUCUCUAAAAGGUUGUUAUUGAAAGAGGGGUCGGUGCCAUCUUUCCAUGGCAAUACUGAAGACGAGGGAAAUGCAAGCACAUCUGUUCACGGUGCUAGGCUACAUCACGUAGCAUGCCAGACGGACCCACCACAGAUGCGCACACAUGGAACGCGGCUUUCUAUGAAAACACUGCGACCUCACUACAAAAGUACAGGCACACAGAAAACUGUGCUGCACUGAUGUCGGUGUUGGGACCUCAGCUGUAAGAGACCUUGCUUGGAGGAGGGAGAGGACAAGAUGUGACGUGAGUGACUCAAUAUUUAAUCUAAACAUUUCAAUAAUCACAUAGAUUACCAUCCUACACUUUUUUAGCUUUUGCAGCCUUUUGGUGAAAUCUUUGUCGUUCUAAUAGAAUGGAAUCUUCCAACCCUGUUCAUAAGACACCCACAUAUAUUGUCUAUGAAAACUGCUUCCUGGAGCUGUUUGAGGUUUGUCCUGUGUGUCGGCGGGGGACAGAUGUAAUAUAUAAGAAGGGCGAGUGCACAGAAAAGCCGGUGAAAGCAGAUGCAAUCUUCCGUGAUUCUCACAGGCUCUAUUUAAAAGCCAAACAAUGUGAAAACAGUAUGUGAAACAUAAAUAACAUAUCAAUUAACUGCUGUCUUUAAAUGGUCUUCACCAUUUAAAGACCAUUUAUUUAUCGUCUUCACGAUAAAUAGAAUAAUAUAAUUAUAAAAAGAAAAUAAUAAAUACAAAAAAGUGCAAAAUGUCCAACUUUUUCCCCAAUUUGUAUUACAGAUUACAUGGAUAACCUGUUGGACCUCAUCUUCCACGAGGUUUUUCAGGACCCGGCCCCAUAUGUGAAUGAGGUGCUGAAGAUCUCAAAACCUGAGGAUCUCUCUGCCUAGUAUGAGAAACCUGACAAGCAGGAAGUUAUAGCCAGCUAUGUGUCGAGUUUCAAUCAAGGGCAGGUCUGAACCCUAUAUAACUUCCCUGAGCAUCAGGGAACACUCUGCGUAUCUGGAGCACCGAGCAGGAGGGCAGGACCACCCUGAUUCUCCGGCCCAGGUGGCCUCAACACCAGCUCACAAAGCUUCUGUACGCCAAAUCCCUGUAACAGCUGAGCAAAGUUUACAUUGUAUUUAGAGAAUAAAAGGUGACACACAAAUAUAAAGUGUUCCUUUGUUUACAGUAUAGCUACUGAUGGCACAAAUUGUAUUUUUGUAAUGAAUGUAUUUAUUAUACUUGGUAUUUUUUGUAUUUAUUACCUAUGUCCCAGCCAGUACAUUUAAUAACUGAUUAAAAAGCUCUGUGGCAAUCUUUCUAGCAAUCUUUCUGACAAUAAAAGUUUAUAGAAACAGUUGUGUGCUUUUAAUGUUUGAUAUGUAACAUGUCAACAAUUGACACGUGUAAGAUGAGCAGUUAGCAAAGUAAUACAGAGGGAAGAGUAAUUUAUGUAUUUUAUUCCUCAGUCAUAAUUUUAUUGCAGAAAUGACUGAUAUCUCAUGCAUAAAAAAAACAAAACUUACUGCUCUAUUCCUUUUAGACAUAAAGGCCCAUAAUCUGCCCUAUAGAUGUUGAAGAACACAUUCAAACAGGCUAAUUAAUGGAGGUAAAAACAUUAUGUCCUACACCUCCA